rnacentral:rRNA from 1 species
GGGGCAUGCGAGGGCUGUCGCUGACUCAAAGUCGUGCACGCCCGAGUGUGUCGCCUCACAUAAUAAUCCAUCUCACCCUUUGUGCAUCACCGCGUGGGCACCCCUUUGGGAUCAUCUCGGAGGGGGCUCGCGUUUUCACACAAAACCCCCCUUUUAAAAGUGUAGAAUGACCUCAUUUAUGCGUUAACCCGCAAUCAAUACAACUUUCAACAACGGAUCUCUUGGCUCUCGCAUCGAUGAAGAACGCAGCGAAAUGCGAUACGUAAUGUGAAUUGCAGAAUUCAGUGAAUCAUCGAAUCUUUGAACGCACCUUGCGCCCCCUGGUAUUCCGAGGGGCACACCCGUUUGAGUGUCGUGAAAACCUCAACCUCCUUGGUUUCUUCUGGAGACCAAAGCAGGCUUGGACUUUGGAGGCCUUUGCUGGCACCUCUCGCCAGCUCCUCUUAAAUGAAUUAGCAGGGUCCUCUUUGCUGAUCCUCGACGUGUGAUAAGAUGUUUCCAUGUCUUGGUUUCUGGCUCUGUCACCUUUGGGACCCGCUUCUAACCGUCUUCAACCUUGCGUUGAGACAACGUUCGAGCAUGUCUCCCUUCUCGGGAAGCUCCCUCGACCCCACGAACCCUUGA